GUGCUCACUUUGGCAGCACAUAUCCUAAAAUUGGAGCGAUACAGAGACCAGCAUAGUCCCUGCGCAAGGAUGACACGCAGAUUCGGGAAGCUUUCCAUAUUUUU